UUUGGAGGUUUCCUUCUUUUAGGCCUCCUGGGUAUGAUGCGUUUAGCUGGCCCCUUGCCUCGAGGUGGUCUGGUUACAAUCCUGGGAUUAGCAACAAGGGACCUCGGGUGCAGAUGGCUCGCCUGAAGAUCGACUUGUUACAGCCUCGGGAUUUCAUAUGGAUGCCCUAUAGCGCACUCGACGUCAUCCAGGUUGUCCAUCCGGAGGUCUUGGAGCCUCGGCAUACGAUGUUAUGGCGGUGUGUGACGUUCCUGAUAUAUUUUGCGGUUGUUGAGUGACAUCAGGUUGAUAGAGUGUUACCGCAGUUUGGCGGCGUACAGCCCCCACCACAUCCCCCCUGAACAUCGACUUCUUGAUGUCGAAGGACGGGAGAGGAGGUGACCGUUGGUUCCCGUCGCACUUACCUGACUGGCAUCUUCACUGGCAGAAUCGUGCGGAGCACAUUUUACAGUUCGACAUUGUGGCCGACCCUGGUCCCUCGC